UCAUAGUAUCCCUUGGAGGCAGAUAGGAUUUUGCACCUUAGAGUCAUCUUACUACUUUAAUAGGUGCUGCUCAGCCCUUGGAUUCAGUUAUCUCAGAGACCGUGGCUUUCUGGCUGUUCAUCUCUUAGAGUGGCUGCUUGUCACAAUACUGUCUUCCUUGCGUUAGGCAAA
rfam:Equus caballus chromosome 4, whole genome shotgun sequence.